rnacentral:rRNA from 1 species
GAUGAACGCUGGCGGCGUGCCUAAUACAUGCAAGUCGAGCGAACGGACGAGAAGCUUGCUUCUCUGAUGUUAGCGGCGGACGGGUGAGUAACACGUGGAUAACCUACCUAUAAGACUGGGAUAACUUCGGGAAACCGGAGUUAAUACCGGAUAAUAUUUUGAACCGCAUGGUUCAAAAGUGAAAGACGGUCUUGCUGUCACUUAUAGAUGGAUCCGCGCUGCAUUAGCUAGUUGGUAAGGUAACGGCUUACCAAGGCAACGAUGCAUAGCCGACCUGAGAGGGUGGUCGGCCACACUGGAACUGAGACACGGUCCAGACUCCUACGGGAGGCAGCAGUAGGGAAUCUUCCGCAAUGGGCGAAAGCCUGACGGAGCAACGCCGCGUGAGUGAUGAAGGUCUUCGGAUCGUAAAACUCUGUUAUUAGGGAAGAACAUAUGUGUAAGUAACUGUGCACAUCUUGACGGUACCUAAUCAGAAAGCCACGGCUAACUACGUG